rnacentral:lncRNA from 1 species
CAAAGAGGCUUUCCCAGAAAAGACUCUGAAUAACACACUAAAAUCCCAUGAAUCCUUUUUCCUCUCUUCCAGUAAGCUGCUGACUACAGUCUCAGUCUGUGAGAGCAAGUGCUGAGAUGCUUCACCAGCCAGGUGGCUCCUCGGGGCAAACCAGGGACACAGAGCACCCCUGGGCCCUGAGGGGGUUUCUUGACACCAGGCUACGGAAUAGCUUCCUGCCGUGUCUACAAAAGCAUGGUUUGACCAGAUUUCAGCUGGGCUGUAGUGUUGCUUGUCUUAGGUUUCAAGUUGGUACCAGCUGCCCUGAGGGGAAAUGGUUGGGGAAAUGCUCCCAUUUGGCUUCUUUCCACAUGGAGGGUGGCUAGAGGAAGAGAGGGCUUAGAGCUGCAGCCCUGGUACCAGUGCCUUAAAAAUAAUGAUAUAAACACAGCCACAGCACUCAGCCUGCGGAGUCCCUGAUGGGGACCAGAGGAGAGAUGCUGUCCUGACUUACCCUUCAACGCACGCUCUGCAAACAUAAGGGACCCAGCCCUCAUCUAUCACCUGAGAAGCUAAACAAACUUCCUCCGACGGCCUGUGGAGUAUAAAUCAAGAGGGCCCUAGCUGCUGCUGCUACUGCUGCC